rnacentral:rRNA from 1 species
UGGGGAAUAUUGGACAAUGGGGGGAACCCUGAUCCAGCCAUGCCGCGUGUGUGAAGAAGGCCUUUUGGUUGUAAAGCACUUUAAGCGAGGAGGAGGAGCUCUAGAUUAAUACUCUAGAUGCUUGGACGUUACUCGCAGAAUAAGCACCGGCUAACUCUGUGCCAGCAGCCGCGGUAAUACAGAGGGUGCAAGCGUUAAUCGGAUUUACUGGGCGUAAAGCGUGCGUGGGUGGUCUUUUAAGUCGGAUGUGAAAUCCCUGAGCUUAACUUAGGAAUUGCAUUCGAUACUGGGAGACUAGAGUAUGGGAGAGGAUGGUAGAAUUCCAGGUGUAGCGGUGAAAUGCGUAGAGAUCUGGAGGAAUACCGAUGGCGAAGGCAGCCAUCUGGCCUAAUACUGACACUGAGGUACGAAAGCAUGGGGAGCAAACA